UACGUAGGGUGCGAGCGUUAAUCGGAAUUACUGGGCGUAAAGUGUGCGCAGGCGGCGCCGCAAGUCGAGUGUGAAAGCCCCGGGCUUAACUUGGGAACUGCGCUCGAAACUAUGGUGCUGGAGUGUGGCAGAGGAAGGUGGAAUUCCACGUGUAGCGGUGAAAUGCGUAGAUAUGUGGAGGAACACCGAUGGCGAAGGCAGCCCCCUGGGUUAACACUGACGCUCAUGCACGAAAGCGUGGGGAGCAAACAGG
rnacentral:rRNA from 1 species